GUGGGGAAUAUUGGACAAUGGGGGAAACCCUGAUCCAGCAAUGCCGCGUGAGUGAAGAAGGCCUUAGGGUUGUAAAGCUCUUUCACCCGUGAAGAUGAUGACGGUAGCGGGAGAAGAAGCUCCGGCUAACUCCGUGCCAGCAGCCGCGGUAAUACGGAGGGGGCUAGCGUUGUUCGGAAUUACUGGGCGUAAAGCGCGCGUAGGCGGCUUGCACAGUUAGGCGUGAAAGGCCUGGGCUCAACCCGGGAACUGCGUUUAAUACUGGCAAGCUAGAGUCCGGAAGAGGGUGGCGGAAUUCCCAGUGUAGAGGUGAAAUUCGUAGAUAUUGGGAAGAACACCAGUGGCGAAGGCGGCCACCUGGUCCGGUACUGACGCUGAGGUGCGAAAGCGUGGGGAGCAAACAGGAUUAGAAACCCCGGUAGUCC
rnacentral:rRNA from 1 species